rnacentral:rRNA from 7 species
AGAGUUUGAUCAUGGCUCAGAUUGAACGCUGGCGGCAGGCCUAACACAUGCAAGUCGAGCGGUAGCACAGAGAGCUUGCUCUCGGGUGACGAGCGGCGGACGGGUGAGUAAUGUCUGGGAAACUGCCUGAUGGAGGGGGAUAACUACUGGAAACGGUAGCUAAUACCGCAUAAUGUCGCAAGACCAAAGUGGGGGACCUUCGGGCCUCAUGCCAUCAGAUGUGCCCAGAUGGGAUUAGCUAGUAGGUGGGGUAACGGCUCACCUAGGCGACGAUCCCUAGCUGGUCUGAGAGGAUGACCAGCCACACUGGAACUGAGACACGGUCCAGACUCCUACGGGAGGCAGCAGUGGGGAAUAUUGCACAAUGGGCGCAAGCCUGAUGCAGCCAUGCCGCGUGUGUGAAGAAGGCCUUCGGGUUGUAAAGCACUUUCAGCGGGGAGGAAGGCGUUAAGGUUAAUAACCUUGGCGAUUGACGUUACCCGCAGAAGAAGCACCGGCUAACUCCGUGCCAGCAGCCGCGGUAAUACGGAGGGUGCAAGCGUUAAUCGGAAUUACUGGGCGUAAAGCGCACGCAGGCGGUCUGUCAAGUCGGAUGUGAAAUCCCCGGGCUUAACCUGGGAACUGCAUUCGAAACUGGCAGGCUAGAGUCUUGUAGAGGGGGGUAGAAUUCCAGGUGUAGCGGUGAAAUGCGUAGAGAUCUGGAGGAAUACCGGUGGCGAAGGCGGCCCCCUGGACAAAGACUGACGCUCAGGUGCGAAAGCGUGGGGAGCAAACAGGAUUAGAUACCCUGGUAGUCCACGCCGUAAACGAUGUCGAUUUGGAGGUUGUGCCCUUGAGGCGUGGCUUCCGGAGCUAACGCGUUAAAUCGACCGCCUGGGGAGUACGGCCGCAAGGUUAAAACUCAAAUGAAUUGACGGGGGCCCGCACAAGCGGUGGAGCAUGUGGUUUAAUUCGAUGCAACGCGAAGAACCUUACCUGGUCUUGACAUCCACAGAACUUUCCAGAGAUGGAUUGGUGCCUUCGGGAACUGUGAGACAGGUGCUGCAUGGCUGUCGUCAGCUCGUGUUGUGAAAUGUUGGGUUAAGUCCCGCAACGAGCGCAACCCUUAUCCUUUGUUGCCAGCGGUCCGGCCGGGAACUCAAAGGAGACUGCCAGUGAUAAACUGGAGGAAGGUGGGGAUGACGUCAAGUCAUCAUGGCCCUUACGACCAGGGCUACACACGUGCUACAAUGGCAUAUACAAAGAGAAGCGACCUCGCGAGAGCAAGCGGACCUCAUAAAGUAUGUCGUAGUCCGGAUUGGAGUCUGCAACUCGACUCCAUGAAGUCGGAAUCGCUAGUAAUCGUAGAUCAGAAUGCUACGGUGAAUACGUUCCCGGGCCUUGUACACACCGCCCGUCACACCAUGGGAGUGGGUUGCAAAAGAAGUAGGUAGCUUAACCUUCGGGAGGGCGCUUACCACUUUGUGAUUCAUGACUGGGGUGAAGUCGUAACAAGGUAACCGUAGGGGAACCUGCGGUUGGAUCACCU